UACAGAGGGUCUCAAGCGUUGUUCGGGAUUCAUUGGGCGUAAAGGGCUCGUAGGCGGCCAACUAAGUCAGACGUGAAAUCCCUCAGCUUAACUGGGGAACUGCGUCUGAUACUGGAUGGCUUGAAUCCGGGAGAGGGAUGCGGAAUUCCAGGUGUAGCGGUGAAAUGCGUAGAUAAUCUGGAGGAACACCGGUGGCGAAGGCGGCAGUC
rnacentral:rRNA from 1 species